rnacentral:tRNA from 1 species
GCUUCCGUAGUGUAGUUGGUUAUCACGUCUGCUUUACACGCAGAAGGUCCUCAGUUCGAACCUGAGCGGGAGCA